CCUACGGGAGGCAGCAGUCGAGAAUCUUCGGCAAUGGGCGCAAGCCUGACCGAGCGACGCCGCGUGCGGGAUGAAGGUCUUCGGAUUGUAAACCGCUGUCGGAGGGGAUGAAAUGCAUGGGGGUACUCCCCUGUGUUUGACAGAGCCUCGGAGGAAGCACGGGCUAAGUUCGUGCCAGCAGCCGCGGUAAUACGAACUGUGCGAACGUUAUUCGGAAUCACUGGGCUUAAAGGGUGCGUAGGCGGCGACUCAAGUCAGGUGUGAAAUCCCCCGGCUCGAACCGGGGAACAGCGCUUGAAACUGGGUUGCUCGAGUGAGGCAGGGGUGUAUGGAACUUCCGGUGGAGCGGUGAAAUGUGUAGAUAUCGGAAGGAACGCCGGCGGCGAAAGCGGUACACUGGGCCUUGUCUGACGCUGAGGCACGAAAGCUAGGGGAGUGAACGGGAUUAGAUACCCCGGUAAUCCUAGCCGUAAACACUGAGCACUGGAGGGGAGGGCCUUGCGCCCUUUCCUCGCAGCGAGAGCGUUAAGUGCUCCGCCGNGGGGAGGUAGUGGUCGCGAAGGACGUAGUAAAACGUUAAAAGGUAAAGUUAGACGGCGUGAGACGUCGACCGACGGACGACCGACGAGGGAGGAGG
rnacentral:rRNA from 1 species